AAGGGUUGCCACCACUCAGAGGAGCACAGCAGGAUUAGCCCCACACAGGUGAAAAGAAAGUGAAUGGUUCUUUCUGUGAGCAGAUUUUCUUUCUAAAACAAUGCCUCCUGCAGCUAAAGGAGGAAAAGAGGAAACCAACAAUACCAACAGCUAGGGGAAGAGAUAGGUGAGGUCUCUGUUUUCUGAUGAGGAAGCUAAGCCUUGGAAGCCAGGCUUCAAACCUAGCGGGGGCAUAAUGAUCUUUCCAGUGUACAUUUUUGCUUUUGCAAAUUAGAAGAGUUAUUAAGUUUAUGAGUCAGUAUCAUGAAGAUCAAGAUGAUAUCUAAAAGGUUACUGGCAUGCAGUUUCCAUAAUAUUGCUAGAAGACAAGACUGAAUCAUAGCCUCCCAGGAACAGAAGAAACCUCAAAAGUUAUCGAGGCUGUUGUUUGGCAGCAACUGGAGCUACGUCCAAGCUGGUGGGUAUGCAGCGAUGGGCUGGGAACUCAUCUCCUCUUGGAAGUGAUACUUCUAAAGCUGCUGUGCUCAUAACUAGGGAAGCAGAAGAGGAGAUCGUCCUCCUGCCCUGGCAACCAGGGAUGAUGGCACGUGCCUAGGCUCAAGCAUGGCAAUUCUCCCAUCCAGAACUUGGAAUCUUCGGGGUAGUGGGAACUAUUUGCAGCUUUUUGAGCAGGGGAGGAAUGACGAUCAAAGCUGUAUUUAAGGAAGAAGAAUCUGACAGUGCUGCGUGGGCUUUGCUGGAACUGGGCAGUGAGAAGGCUAGAAAUUGCAUUUGUUCCGGUAAAAGUGAUAAAAAAGAAAUGAUCAGAAGUGGAAAGGUGGGUUAGUGAACCAAUGUUUCCACCUCUGAAGGGCCACGGAGCCAGGGAGGAGGAUUUACUCUUCUCUGUUAAGAAGGAGCUCUGCUGUCCUGACCAAAUGCCAGAAGAUGUGACUUUGCUCAGACCAAGCUACCAAAGACCACUGCCCUUCGUUCCACGAGCCUGGCCCUGUCUACACAGACAGGCAACCCAGGAGCCUGAUCCAGGAGCCGACAGGUAACUCUGGGCCACACAGCACUUGGCAACUGUACGUGCAUAAGGAGUCUCUGUAGAUGAGAGGUUCUAUCGAAAACAGUGUGUUUAGCAGAGAACAGUGUGGAAUUCCAUGCAUGGGUGAUGUCAUCUGCUUUGUUUGGUACCUGCCCAACCAGAUACGAACUGAGGGCCAUGAAAGCUGACUCACCUUCGCAGCAGAAGGUGAGCUGAGAGUCCCUGGCCCUGGCUCCCCAAAGCCUGACUUCAACCAACUCUAUUUCCCUACUGAUGAGAAGCUGAGUGCACCUGUCUCCAGGCCGCCAGGCCUGUGGGUCCUGUCCUAGAGCUCACCUUCCAAGCCCUCAGCCCCAUCUCACACACUCACACACCUGGGAAAGGAAGAAAAAGACAGGAGAGAUAUUCACAUUUUGUUGUAAAACCUUUUAACUAGACUACAUAUAGGUAUUAAAAACCUGGGGCUGGGUGUGAAGGCUCAUGCCUGUAAUCCCAGCACUUCGGGAGGCGGAGGCAGGCAGAUCAUUUGAGGUCAAGGGUUCAAGAACAGCCUGAUCAACAUGGUGAAACCCCAUCUCUACUAACAACGACAACAACAAAAUAGCCAGACGUAGUGGCACAUGCCUGUAGUCCCAGCCACUUGGGAGGCUGAGGCACUAGAAUCGCUUGAACACAGGAGGCAGAGAUUGCAGUGAGCCGAGAUCACACCACUGCACUGCAGCCUGGGUGACAGAGUGAGACUCCGUCUCAAAAAAAAAAAAAAAGAAAAAAAGAAAAAGAAAACAACCUGGGCCAUUGCCAGUCUGUGUUUAUCCAGGGCUACUGGUCAGAAUAUUCUGCCUGAAUUAAACAGCCUACCCAGUCAAAGAAGUCGUCUAAUAUCUAUUUUACAGAACUGACCAAAUGUGUGACUAUACCGGCUGUUCAGUUCAUAUUCUCAAAAGGUACAAAUAUUCUACCAUCCUAAAAGUGCAUCAGAAGACUUACUCAGACCCUGGCAUCUUAUCACUACAUUUUGAGUAAUAAUUUUUUUGUUUCUUUCCUGUUACCACCUACAUCCAACACAUUUAUGUGUAGCAAAUAAAUUAUCCUUGUCACAGAUAUUUACAACUGCUGAUUUGUUGCUCCAUAAGCCCAAAAGGAGAAAACAGGGGUCAGCCUGACACAAUUGGUAAAGAAAAAAAUGAGAUAAAGGGGAUGUAAACAUGUCUGUGAUGUGGGGAUAUAAUUAUGGCUGGUGCACGUGCUGGGGUCAGGACACAGAAUGAGGAAGUCCUGGGUUCUUGGAUCCCGGAGCCCAGAGCAGAAGCAGAGACCAGGCAAGCCAGGAAGAUGAAGUUGCGCUCUGGAAUUCCUUGGCCCUUAAAUGUACAAGUGCGGCAGGAGCAGUAGUGGCAGCCUCUUUUGCUUGUCUCCUCCAGUUCCUGCUAUGGAGGGUCCCAAGGAAUCCUCUGUUCACUGGGGCGAGUUGAUGAACUUGGCUCAAUGGCUUAGAUAUGAAAGCAUUUCUGGCACAUGUGUGUAGUCAGGGGAAAUCACGAUCUGCUGGAGCUUUGCUGGAACGUUCAGAGGACGGUUUCAUUUCAUGAAAAACUCCAUCGUGGUUGGGCCCGGUGACUCAUGCCUGUAAUCCCAGUGCUUUGGAAGGCCAAGGUGGGAGGAUCACUUGAGAUCGGGAGUUCAAGACUAGCCUGGGCAACAUAGCAAGACCUCAUCUCUACAAAAAAACUUUUAAAAAAUUAACCGUGCAUGGUGGCACCUGCCUGGACGCUGAGGUGGAAGGAUCUCUUGAGCCCAGGAGUCUGAGGCUGCAGUGAGCUAUGAUUGCACCACUGCACUGCAUCCCCGGCAACAAAGUGAGACCUUACCUCAAAUAAAUAAAUAAAUAAAUAAAAUUUAAAACUCCAUCCUCCAAGAAAGAAGUCAGGUCGGGGAAGCCUGAUUCCUAGCAGAAUCCCACAGGGAAGGAGAAAGACAAGCAAAGGGUUUCUUACUAAGCAGCGCUGCAAUUGGCUACAGGGAACAUUGCGUUUUUCAGGCCCCAGUCCAGUCGUGGGUUCUGCGACUGUGCUCUGGGCACAACCCUGCAACCCUCCUGAAAGGCCAAGUGAGAAGAGACUGGAGAAGCUGAAUCCUGGUGACUCUUUCUCAGGGGUGUUGUCAGGGAAUGUGCUAUGCACAGAUCCAAGGAGGAACUGUGCUUGCUACUCUGUUAUGGGACACAGCUGUUAUAUGCCCGGUCCAUGGUUGGCACUCUGUUCUGCAAAGUCAAGGUGGGAACCAUGGCAAGGGCAUUUCACAAGGCUCUCUAUCUGUUUUGCCCUGCUGCAAACAGAACAGAUUCCUGGGCCCACCCAGCCCUUUGAAAGCCAGGUAAAAUUGCUAGGAUAAGGGGUUUUCAAGCCCAGGCCUUCAGCAAAGCAAAGUCUUCUCCAAGAUGCUUUCAGAUCCCUGGAGGGCUUACAUUGUCAUGGUUCUCUCUGCUGAGAUGCUGCCUCCUUAAAAGUGCACAUAGCUUUGCUGAAGAUGGGAAACUUUCCUGAUUUCCGUGAGAAAAAAAGAAACUAAACAGCUAGCAUGAGACGCACAUAUCAUGAUUCUUGGCUAUGCAAACCUGAGGCUGAUGCAUCCUCCAGCAGCUGACCACGGACAUGUGCAGCAUCACAGUGACAGAUGGCAUUUCAACCACUUGGUUUACACCUUCCUCCACUGUCACCACCAUUCUGACAGAAAUGAGUUCCAUUUGCUCCAUUUUACAUAAGGGCAAAAGGCAGCAUUGACUCACCAAGUUUACACAGUUAGGGAAAAGAGCAACCAGGUCAGGAUCAGAUACAACAAAGAAGUGAUUGCAGAUGUUAAAUGGAACAUAGCUCUGGUCGUUUGAUAAAUAUUCAGUAAUUUCUUCAGUUUGUUAAGAAAAAUUAUCCAAAAUUUACAAUUACAGAGGAAGCAAAAUUUUACCUGUACCCUAUUUUUUUUUUUCUGGGGCUAAGAAUUAAAUUGACUUAAGACAGACAUAAGACAGAUCAACAGCAGAAGAACAAAUUUACUUAAUACAAGUUUUACAUGGCAGGAGAGACUACAUAAGGAAAUGCAGACCCAAAGGCACAGUUAGAUUGAACACUUACAUACAGAAUUAAAGAGUCAUGAAUUGUGAAAAUGUCACAAGGCCAAGAAGCUUGGGCUGAGUGGUUAAUUGAGUGAAAAAGUGGCUCGGAAGGUAUCUCCGCCCUAUGAAGGCCUUGAUGGGGAGCAACUCAGGCCUUGAAGGUAAAUGUCCUGUCCCACAGGUGCCAUGAGCUCCGGGAAGUAGAGACGUGAUCAGACUCCCCUGCUACAGCCUUGUACUUGUCACCGAAGGGAGAUGUGCAGGUGCAAGCCCGACCAAGGGACACCUCCGUGGCCAUGACAGCUUUUCUUCUUAAAAGAAAAAACCGGACCGUGGGUUCAGAAAUCCAAAUCCAUUUGUUUAUACUCGAUUCAUACCAAAGACUACAAAAUAUACUUGUUAAUCUAUAUUUAAUAUAGCUACUUAAUACAUUUAGUCAUCUCAUUUUUAAUAUUUUUUAUUAUUCAUUUUAAUCUCUUUUCUUAUUUACUUAACAGCAAGCUUAUCCUUAAAGAUCAUCUCAUUUUUAAAUUUUCAUUCUAUACUUCAGAUAUAGUUUCAAAUUAUCUUUUUUAAUUGAAAAUCGCAAUUUGAGAACUACGGAAAGGUAUCAUUGAACCAGAAACUCCUGAACCUGAGUAUAGCUGAGAAUGCCUGAAUGUAGCUGGGUGUACCUGAGUUUACCUUAGUUUACCUGAGUCAACCUGUGUUCCUGCACAGACCAUAUAAAUUUUCUCCCAGAUAAGAAUGAAGAUGCGGCUAACAGACAUAACCUGUGAGGGGCAGCAGUGUCAGCCCUGGUCUUUCCAUUAGCUGCAAAGGAAGUCUGAAGCAGGCUAGACUGUGCCAGAACGAACCGUUUCAGAAACUGCUCAGGCCUGAGUGUGAAAUGGGCAUCGGAUGUAAACAGAACCAUGACACAGACUUAGGAAUGUUUACUAAAUGGCAUCUCACCCCCGUAAUAGAGAUGGAGGCAGCCUUGAACCCCAAACCUCCCAGGAGGUGGAAAGAUCAGGUAGGAAGGGGAAGGAAGAUACCAAAGUCUUUAGCAAGGUGACUCUUCCGCAUUACAAAUGCAGUUUCAGAAUUCAUAUUCCCGCUGCAAGGGAAAGAGUAGGACGCGGACAGAGAGAUUGUGUGUAUUUCAUCCUGGCUACCUUAGGAAUGGCUUCUGGAACAUGUUUUAUGCUCUAAUGAGUCGUGUUAGGCUUCUCACAUGGCACCAAAUAGAAUUUGUCAGUUUGCUACUGAUGUAUUAGCAAAUUCUGAAUUCGCCCCCACCCCCUCACACUACUGUUUUUAGGACUUUUAUUUUCAGAUGCUUUAGUAAUGAUAAAAGAUGAAACAUGCUUAAUACUAUGAAGAAUCAGUUACAUUAACAAACUCUCACAUCCCUGUGUUUGGAAACGUAACUCAGCAUAGGGGCACAGUCUGUCAGUAAGACCCAGGUUAACCCUCUUUCUCCCUUCCCUUGUUAGCUGCACAAUCAUCUGUUGAAAGCCUCUUGUAGUCUCUGCCUCAGUUCUCCGGUGCUAAAUGGUUGUUCUUCUCAGAAGAACAUAAUAAAAAUUAAGCAAGACAAAAAUAGAACAGUUUCAAUGCGAAAUCAUUUAGUUAGAAAAAUAUACCUAAUUUUUCUGCUUAUAUUUGCAAAGAAAUCCUGCAAUAAAUAUUUUGAAAGGAAUGAAGAUGAGUCCAAUAAAUUUAUAUUUUAUUUUUAUAAUGGACUUUAGAAUAUAGAGGGACUCAGUUAUGUUAGUAAAUGCAAUACUUUGCAAAACACUUUGCAAAUGUGAAGAACUUUAGUCCAACUAUUUAUACGUCAUAUCACUUUUCUAUUGCUGCAUUAAAAAGCUCCAAACCUAGGAACUUGAAAUAACAAACACUUUGUUUCACAUAGUUACUAAGGUUCAAGAAUCUAGGAAUGGGGUGGCUGCAUGGUUCCGGCUCAGGAUGUCUCACUAAGUUGCAGCUGAACUGUCAUCAGCGGCUGUAGUCUCUGAAAACUUAGCUUCUGGGGCUGGAGGCCCCAUUUCCAAGUUCAGUCAUGUAGCUGCUGGCAGGAGGCUUCUGUUCCUUCCUAUGUGGGACGCUCCAUGAAACUGGUCACAACAUGGCUUCCUCCAGAGUGAAACUGAUUACAACAUGGCUUCCCCCACCCCCAGAAUGAAACUGAUCACACAACAUGGCUUCUCCCCAGAAUGAAACUGAUCGUAACAUGGCUUCCCUGAGGGCAAAUAUCUACAUGAGACAAGGAGCAAGUGUGAUGAAAUCAAAAUAUUUUAUAAUCUAAUCUUGGAAGUAACAUCUCAUUACUUCUCUGUAUUCUACUGAUCAAACAGACCAGCAACCCUGAGCCAGUAUGGAUUUCGUCACACUACACAAAGAUAUGAAUCCCAGGGGGCAGGGACCAUCUUGGAGGCUUGGCUACCACAGAAAACAAGUUAAACAGAUGAUCCUUUUUAAAAUCCUUGUCCUGUGGCUUUUAACAUACUCAUAUUAAGAUUAAUAAGCCUAUUUUACUAGUAGGGUCUCCAUUUAGCCAUAGAAUCAGAGCCAUCAACCUGGGACAAAAAGUAAGAUUUUAUCAACUAGUAUAAAAAUAUACUAAACUACUCAACUGAGGCACUAAGGUAUCCAAUAUUGAAAUUCGUUGUGAGACAAGCAUCAAUUUUUCAAAAGAAAUAUCUGAAAAGUGGUUAGACAAGUCUUAGGCUUUGCACCCAAGGGCUAUUCCCACAUACCAGAAGUAUAAAAAGGUCAAGAGAGAGGGAAAUCAGAAAGAAUGUGUGAGGGGAGUUGGUUUGGAAGGGGUAAUUGAUUGCUAUGAGUUCUAUCUAAAGGUGACGAGUGAGAGUAGCUUUAAUUGAAUUGUUUGGAGGGCUUCAAAUGUGUUCUUUGUGGCUGAGGCUGCAGAAUGGAUGGACAUCUGACUCUGUCCAGGAAAUCUGGAAGUUAGGAGAGAUGUGUUGCUGAGCUCAUUGACACUCUGUAAAGAAGAGUCACUGGCUUGAUAAAAUCAUGUCAUUUGCAGCAACAUGGAUGAAACUGGAGGACAUUAUGUCAAAUGAAAUUAGACAAGCACAGAAAGACAAAUAUUGCAUGUUCUCACUCACAUGUAGGAGCUAAAAAAUAUUGAUCUCACGGAGGUAGAGAAUGGAAUCAUAGAUACCAGAGGGCAGAAAGGGUAUGUGGUGGGGAGAAGGGGGUUGGAUAAAAAUAAGCUGGUUAAUCAGUACAAACAUAUAGUUAGAUAGAAGGAAUAGGUUUUAAUGUUUGACAGCAGACUACGGUGACUAUAGUUAACAUGAAUAUAUUGUAUAUUUCAAAAUAAUUGAAAGAGAGGACUUAAAAUGUUCCCAACACAAAGAAAUGAUAAAUAUUCCAGGUGAUGGAUAUUCUAAAUACCUUGAUGUGAUCAUUACACAUUCUAUGCAUGUAACAAAAUAUCACAUGUACCCUGUAAAUAUGUACAAAUAUGAUGUAUCAAUAAAUAAAAAUUUAAAAAUAUAUUUCUUAAAUUAACUUUAUCUGAAAGACAUUCUACAUACUGUACUCAGUCAAUUGGAUGUCAUCAUUUCAUUCCAGGAUCCUCUGCUAAUUCCUGAGUUUACUGAUUGGGAUCUCUGCACUAAUUUGAAAUGAUUUCCUAACAUGCUCCUGCCCGGGAUGAUUGGAAAGGUUAACUACUAUCUGACUGUUAAGCACCCUAUAAAUAAAAACAGCAUGAGUAAUACUAGCUAUAUAGUAGAAGAUUAGUAACUGUGACCUUUUUAGCAUAAAAAAGAUACUUUAUAUUUUAAAUGCCUUUUACCCCAGUGGGAAAUACACAGAGGUGGUGUUGUGGGUUUUUAAAGGGUUGUAAUAGGUAGCAGAGUAAGAGCAUAGUUAUGAUAAAUAAUAGCUGUCAACUGAAGCAUUCAUGUAAAAUUUAUGAUGUAGUCAAGUAACAAUGACCCACUUUUCAUCUCUAUCACAUUCAGCUGGAAACAAUGAAGAAUCAGUCUUUUGAGCUUUUGCAUGUAUUCUUUGAUUUUUUUUAAAGAC
rnacentral:lncRNA from 1 species